GAUGGAACGUAGCGAAAUGCGAUAAGUAAUGUGAAUUGCAGAAUUCAGUGAAUCAUCGAAUCUUUGAACGCACAUUGCGCCCCUUGGUAUUCCGAGGGGCAUGCCUGUUCGAGCGUCAUUAUAACCCCUCAAGCUUAGCUUGGUGUUGGGGCCUGCUGUAAUAGAGCAGCCCUUAAAAUCAGUGGCGGUGCCAUUAGGCUCUAAGCGUAGUAAUUCUUCUCGCUAUAGGGUUCUGGUGGAUGCUUGCCAUUAACCUCUAAUUUUCUAUGGUUGACCUCGGAUCAGGUAGGGAUACCCGCUGAACUUAAGCAUAUCAAUAAGCGGAGGA
rnacentral:misc_RNA from 1 species